rnacentral:rRNA from 1 species
GGGAGCAAGGCGCGGUACGUGUACCGCGAAGGAGAGUACCCUGAGAAAAAGCAUCGGCUAACUCCGUGCCAGCAGCCGCGGUAAUACGGAGGAUGCGAGCGUUAUCCGGAUUUAUUGGGUUUAAAGGGUGCGCAGGCGGACUGUUAAGUCAGCGGUAAAAUGUCGGUGCUCAACACCGGCCGGCCGUUGAAACUGGCAGCCUUGAGUGAGCGAGAAGUAUGCGGAAUGCGUGGUGUAGCGGUGAAAUGCAUAGAUAUCACGCAGAACUCCGAUUGCGAAGGCAGCAUACCGGCGCUCAACUGACGCUCAGGCACGAAAGCGUGGGUAUCGAACAGGCUUAGAUACCCUGGUAGUCCACGCAGUAAACGAUGAAUGCUCACUGUCCGGGCCGUUUAAGGCCUGG